rnacentral:rRNA from 1 species
AUUGAACGCUGGCGGCAGGCCUAACACAUGCAAGUCGAGCGAGCGGCGGACGGGUGAGUAAUGUCUGGGAAACUGCCCGAUGGAGGUGGAUAACUAUUGGAAACGGUAGCUAAUACCGCAUACCAUCAGAUGUGCCCAGAUGGGAUAAGCUAGUAGGUGGGGUAACGGCUCGCCGAGGCGACGAUCCCUAGCUGGUCUGGGAGGAUGACCAGCCACACUGGCACAGAGACACGGUGCAGACACCUACGGGAGGAAGCGGUGGGGAAUAGUGCACAAUGGGCGCAAGCGGGAUGCAGCCAUGCCGCGUGGGUGAAGAAGGCCUUCGGGUUGUAAAGCACUUUCAGCGGGGAGGCGUUACCCGCAGAAGAAGCACCGGCUAACUCCGUGCCAGCAGCCGCGGUAAUAC